CCUUUCUGGCCAUUACAGAGUCCUUCAGAAUAAAGGAAUAAAGGAAUAUUCAGGUGUUCUCCACUGAUAAACAGACCAGCUUGUGAGCUUUGGCCUUCUGGUGGCAGAGGACAGCCAGCCCCCAGCAUAGGACCAGGCUCAGGAUGCAGGCUCCAUGUGGUGCAUUUGCUGGCUCACCAACAUACACCCUCCUGACACACACAGCCCAGCAGCGCUGUGCUCCCUGUGCGGCGGGAACCCGUCCUCGCUGGUAGAUGAUGCACGAUGGUCCUGCAACAAAAUGCUGCAGAUUGGAAAAAAGCAGAAUUUGUUCCUGAAGUUUUAAAUGUCUAUGGAGAUACGUUCUGUGAGAGAGGUAGCUUGCCUGUCCUCAGCCUUGAGGACUUUGGAAUAAGAUGGAGAAAUGGGCCAGCUCGUCACCCUGAACUGCAGGUGGGGCAUUUUUCUCUCUGGCCACGGAAACUUCAAGCGGUGAGACUGGAACCAUCCACACUCCCCUGGAGUGGACACGAAUAAAGAGUUUCAGAAGUCAGCUAAAAUCAGAGCAGUGAGCCCCUCUGACCUGCCCUUUGCUUGCCCCUUUGUCAUCUUCAGAGGUUCACUGAGUCCGAUAAGACAAGGCAAACUCAGGGUGGAUCUGGAGGGGUCACUGUACAGAGGGAAGGGCUGCUGAGGCGUGUGUGGCUAGGGGGUCCUCAGGGUGAUUGCCUUCUUGGGGACAGCUGCUGGCUUGGCCAGGCAUGUAGGCUGAGCAGGACCCCUGGGGAGAGAGCCCCUGUCAGGAAACCCGGAAGAGUUCCCAUCAGACAGAGGUGGGUUGAGGGG
ensembl:lncRNA